UACGUAGGUGGCGAGCGUUGUCCGGAAUUACUGGGUGUGAAGGGCGUGUAGGCGGGAUCUUAAGUCAGAUGUGAAAUACCCAAGCUUAACUUGGGUCGUGCAUUUGAAACUGAGGUUCUUGAGUGGUGGAGAGGAAAGCGGAAUUCCUAGUGUAGCGGUGAAAUGCGUAGAUAUUAGGAGGAACACCAGUGGCGAAGGCGGCUUUCUGGACACUAACUGACGCUGAGACGCGAAAGCUAGGGGAGCAAACAGGAUUAGAUACCCGAGUAGU
rnacentral:rRNA from 1 species